rnacentral:rRNA from 1 species
CUACGGGGCGCUGCAGUCGAGAAUCUUCCACAAUGGGCGAAAGCCUGAUGGAGCGACGCCGCGUGAAUGAAGAAGCCCUUCGGGGUGUAAAGUUCUUUUCUAAGGGAACAAUUUUGAUUUAUCAAGAUGAGCGUACCUUAGGAAUAAGGGGUGGCUAACUUCGUGCCAGAAGCCUCGGUAAUGCGAAGGCCCCAAGCGUUAUCCGGAAUCACUGGGCGUAAAGCGCGCGUGGGCGGUUUUAAUAGUGGCUGGUUAAAUUUCAGAGCUUAACUCUGAAGCCGCCAGCCAAACGUUGAAACUAGAGCAAGCGAGAGGCUGAUGGAACUUGCCAAGUAGGGGUGAAAUCCGUUGAUAUGGCAGGGAACACCAAAGGCGAAGGCAUUCAGCUGGCGCUUGGCUGACGUUGAGGCGCGAAAGCGUGGGUAGCGAAUGGGAUUAGAUACCCUGGUAGUC